rnacentral:rRNA from 1 species
UACGAGGGGGGCAAGCGUUGUUCGGAUUUAUUGGGCGUAAAGGGUGCGUAGGCGGUUUGGCAAGUCUUGUGUGAAAUCUUUGGGCUCAACCCAAAGUCUGCACAAGAAACUGCCGGGCUUGAGUAUGGGAGAGGUGAGUGGAAUUUCCGGUGUAGCGGUGAAAUGCGUAGAUAUCGGGAAGGAACACCUGUGGCGAAAAGCGGCUCACUGGACCAUUACUGACGCUGAGGCGGCGAAGGCGUGGGGAGCGAACGGG